GGCGCCGUAGCCAAGUGGUUAGGCAGCGGAUUGCAAAUCCGCGCACCCCGGUUCGAUUCCGGGCGGCGCCU
rnacentral:tRNA from 1 species